AGAGUUUGAUCCUGGCUCAGGACGAACGCUGGCGGCGUGCUUAACACAUGCAAGUCGAACGGAGUGCUCAUGACAGAGGUUUCGGCCAAUGGAUUGAGUUACUUAGUGGCGGACUGGUGAGUAACGCGUGAGGAACCUGCCUUUCAGAGGGGGACAACAGUUGGAAACGACUGCUAAUACCGCAUGACGCAUUUUGACCGCAUGGUCGGAAUGCCAAAGAUUUAUCGCUGAAAGAUGGCCUCGCGUCUGAUUAGCUAGUUGGCGGGGUAACGGCCCACCAAGGCGACGAUCAGUAGCCGGACUGAGAGGUUGACCGGCCACAUUGGGACUGAGAUACGGCCCAGACUCCUACGGGAGGCAGCAGUGGGGAAUAUUGGGCAAUGGGCGCAAGCCUGACCCAGCAACGCCGCGUGAAGGAAGAAGGCUUUCGGGUUGUAAACUUCUUUUAAGAGGGAAGAGCAGAAGACGGUACCUCUAGAAUAAGCCACGGCUAACUACGUGCCAGCAGCCGCGGUAAUACGUAGGUGGCAAGCGUUGUCCGGAUUUACUGGGUGUAAAGGGCGUGCAGCCGGGCAUGCAAGUCAGAUGUGAAAUCUCAGGGCUUAACCCUGAAACUGCAUUUGAAACUGUAUGUCUUGAGUGCCGGAGAGGUAAUCGGAAUUCCUUGUGUAGCGGUGAAAUGCGUAGAUAUAAGGAAGAACACCAGUGGCGAAGGCGGAUUACUGGACGGUAACUGACGGUGAGGCGCGAAAGCGUGGGGAGCGAACAGGAUUAGAUACCCUGGUAGUCCACGCU
rnacentral:rRNA from 1 species